rnacentral:lncRNA from 1 species
AAGGGUUUUGAGCUUGGAAUUCUUCAGGGGUAAAAGGUUUUGAGCUUGGAAUUCUUCAGGGGUAAAGAGUUUUGAGCUUGGAAUUCUUCAGGGGUAGAAGGUUUUGAGAUUGAAAUUCUUCAGGGGUAAAGGGUUUUGAGCUUGGAAUUCUUUAGGGGUGAAGGGUUUUGAGCUUGGAAUUCUUCAGGGGUAAAAGGUUUUGAGCUUGGAAUUCUUCAGGGGUAAACAGUUUUGAGCUUGGAAUUCUUCAGGGGUAGAAGGUUUUGAGAUUGAAAUUCUUCAGGGGUAAAGGGUUUUGAGCUUGGAAUUCUUUAGGGGUGAAGGGUUUUGAGCUUGGAAUUCUUCAGGGGUAAAAGGUUUUGAGCUUGGAAUUCUUCAGGGG